rnacentral:piRNA from 1 species
UUCGAUUGUGGCGCCAAGAGUCCUA